UACGUAGGGGGCAAGCGUUGUCCGGAAUCAUUGGGCGUAAAGAGCGCGUAGGCGGUCCGGUAAGUCCGCUCUGAAAGUCCGGGGCUCAACCCCGGGAGGCGGGCGGAUACUGUCGGGCUAGAGUCCGGAAGAGGCGAGUGGAAUUCUCGGUGUAGCAGUGAAAUGCGUAGAUAUCGAGAGGAACACCAGUGGCGAAGGCGAGUCCCUGGACAACACCUGACACUGAGGCACGAAAGCUAGGGGAGCAAACAGG
rnacentral:rRNA from 1 species